ACACACACACACACGCACGCACAGAGCAAGUUUAAAGAGAGCACCCUUAAGAAUUAAAAAAAAAAAAGGUUUUUCAUAAAUGAAGUAAACUAUCUAAUAAAUAUCAUUUAUAGGAUCUUCAGUAGCAGCAAUCCAAAAACUGAACAUAAGAUAGGCUACCAAACAUUGUAUAUUCUUAGACUCCUAGUAGCGAGAUGGAGCAGAUAUAAAAAAAACAAAAACAAAAAUAAA
rnacentral:misc_RNA from 1 species